UCCUUCUUGGUGUAGUGGUCAAUACCUCCCACCUUCUGCUGGGAGGUCUUGGUGUUCAAAUCCCAUUGGUGGAU